GAGGGCUGGAUCAGUGCAAACCACGUGAUCCGUGCAGGUUCGCUGAGCACAGUCGGAACUAGAGACUCCGAGAUACUUAGGUGUAGAGCUGGAUGAAUAUAACAGGCCAAGAAGUAUCAGAGGAGCAGGAAAGCUCACAUUUUGUGCCUGGCCCUUUCGCUGAGACUAAGGAUUGUGCAAUUGAUGUAAGAGCAGGACACGGUGAAGAAGGCAAAACGGCAGAAAGCAGAUACCAGCGAUCGUUGCCAAAGCCCUGUUGCCUGUGGAAAAUGUGAUGUUCAACUUUCAUGUGCUGCUGCAGUUCAUAUGAUGAAGGUACUCCCACAAUGCGGUCAUUAGAGAAGUUACAGAUCAUUCAUCUAGCGAUACUGAAGAGCUGAUGGUGUGUGUCCAAAUCAACAAACUGAUAUUACAAGUGGACUUUCAGGUGGGGAAACUCAAUAAUUGUAACACUAAACUCUGACAGAAUUACUCAAUUCAUCAACAUCUGGAUAUUCGUAUUGUUGUGGUUCAUGUGUGAAACGAAUUUUCAGAGGAGGUGGUGGAUGCAGAUUUCCACAAUUUUACUUCUGCACUGUUCUUAACCUUUUGAUCCCUCUGAAAGACUGAGUUACAAUGCCUGCCCUUGCUCCCUGGCUCUCCCACCUCUCUUUCAGCAGUUUUGUGCAAAUACUGACUGGAUCCCUUACCUGGAGGAUAUUUAUUUGAAUUUGUUCUAAUGAUGAUCCAGCAUAUUUCCCAAGUGUCGCUCCAUAAAUGUCCAGAGGAUUUCUCGAUUUCACAAUCUGUGGUUGUUCUUCUGG